GACGAACGCUGGCGGCGUGCUUAACACAUGCAAGUCGAACGAAGUGGCGAACGGGUGAGUAACGCGUAAUCAACUUGCCCUUCAGAGGGGGACAACAGUUGGAAACGUCUCCUAAUACCGCAUACUGAUGGAGUGGUUUGCGUCUGAUUAGCUCGUUGGAGGGGGAAUGGCCCACCAAGGCGAUGAUCAGUAGGCGGGCUGGGAAGAAGAACGGCCAAAUUGGGACUGGGACACGGCCCAGACUCCUACGGGAGGGAGCAAUGGGGAAUCUUCCGCAAUGGACGAAAGUCUGACGGAGCAACGCCGCGUGAGUGAUGACGGCCUUCGGGUUGUAAAGCUCUGUUAAUCGGGACGCGGUACCGGAAUAGAAAGCCACGGCUAACUACGUGCCAGCAGCCGCGGUAAUUC
rnacentral:rRNA from 1 species